rnacentral:rRNA from 1 species
UACGAAGGGUGCAAGCGUUAAUCGGAAUUACUGGGCGUAAAGCGUGCGUAGGCGGUUCGUUAAGUCUGUCGUGAAAGCCCUGGGCUCAACCUGGGAAUGGCGAUGGAUACUGGCGAGCUAGAGUGUGAUAGAGGAUGGCGGAAUUCCCGGUGUAGCGGUGAAAUGCGUAGAGAUCGGGAGGAACAUCUGUGGCGAAGGCGGCCAUCUGGAUCAACACUGACGCUGAGGCACGAAAGCGUGGGGAGCAAACAGG